CCAGGAUUUCUGGGAGUUGAAGUCCAAGAACUUUUGGAGGCCCAAGGUUGGGGGGAAAAUCACUGUUAUAAAGGGUUAAACAACAAGAGAUGGAUUCCUAGAAAGGAACUUAGAUUAGAAAUUCUGGUGGUUUGAACAGAGAGAGAAGAUUCCUAGAGAGUGAUCCUCCGAGACAAGAAUAGAGAUCAGAGAGACACGGAUUCCUAGAGGGAAAACACGCCAGACAAGAGAGAGAGUCUGGCUUUUUAGCGAAUGAAGAGAGGCUGGAAAGAUGGUUGGAAACAUGAUCCUUGAAGAAGCCAAAAAGCGAUGGCUGUUUUAAGGGCGGGUUUCAGCUUCCUUUUCCUCUGCCCACUGGGAAUUGCAUGGAGGAAUUGAUUUUCCUUUGGAUGUUCUUUGCCUUAAGAGAGAGCCUGGCAGAAAAAAGAAAGCCAUUUUUGAUCACGUCGGAGGCAGGUUGUAUAAAGAAUUGGAGAACAGAGAAGAGGAGCUGACCAACCUAGAAGUUAGAACUUCUCAACCCCCUCAGGCCGGUUCUGAAUGACUCUGGGAUAAAAAUGGGGAGACCCCCUUCAAUUUAGACGUCCAGCGCUAAAGCCACAGCAACAAGCAAA
rnacentral:lncRNA from 1 species